rnacentral:rRNA from 1 species
UGAGGAAUAUUGCCCAAUGGACGCAAGUCUGAGGCAGCAACGCCGCGUGGGCGAUGAAGGCCUUCGGGUUGUAAAGCCCUUUUCUGGGGGACGAGGAAGGACGGUACCUCAGGAAUAAGUCACGGCUAACUACGUGCCAGCAGCCGCGGUAAUACGUAGGUGGCGAGCGUUAUCCGGAUUCACUGGGCGUAAAGCGCGUGCAGGCGGUUUCGUAAGUCGGACGUGAAAGCUCCUGGCUUAACUGGGAGAGGUCGUUCGAUACUGCGGGGCUUGAGGUCGGGAGAGGGACGUGGAAUUCCCGGUGUAGUGGUGGAAUGCGUAGAUAUCGGGAGGAACACCAGUGGCGAAGGCGACGUCCUGGCCCGCACCUGACGCUGAGACGCGAAAGCAUGGGUAGCAAACGGGAUUAGAUACCCCGGUAGUCCACGCUGUAAACGGUGGGUACUAGGUGUUGGUGGCUAUCGUCAUCAGUGCCGCAGCUAACGCGUUAAGUACCCAGCCUGGGGACUACGGCCG